rnacentral:rRNA from 1 species
UGGGGAAUAUUGCACAAUGGGCGAAAGCCUGAUGCAGCAACGCCGCGUGAGUGAUGAAGGCCUUCGGGUUGUAAAAGCUCUGUCUUUUGGGACGAUAAUGACGGUACCAAAGGAGGAAGCCACGGCUAACUACGUGCCAGCAGCCGCGGUAAUACGUAGGUGGCAAGCGUUGUCCGGAUUUACUGGGCGUAAAGGAUGCGUAGGCGGAUUUUUAAGUGAGAUGUGAAAUACCGGGCUUAACUUGGGUGCUGCAUUUCAAACUGGGAAUCUAGAGUGCGGGAGAGGAGAAUGGAAUUCCUAGUGUAGCGGUGAAAAUGCGUAGAGAUUAGGAAGAACACCAGUGGCGAAGGCGAUUCUCUGGACCGUAACUGACGCUGAGGCAUGAAAGCGUGGGUAGCAAACAGGAUUAGAUACCCUGGUAGUCCACGCCGUAAACGAUGAGUACUAGGUGUAGGAGGUAUCGACCCCUUCUGUGCCGCAGUUAACACAAUAAGUACUCCGCCUGGGAAGUACGAUCGCAAGAUUAAAACUCAAAGGAAUUGACGGGGUC